UCUGCUCAAUGUAUUUUUUAUAAAUAGCUACAUAAUUGUACCAAGGUAGCAUAAUAAUUUGUCUUCUAAUUAAAGAAUUGUAUGAAUGAAUUUACAAAAAAUUAACUGUCUCUUUAUAAUAAAUAUAAUUUAAUCUAUUAGUGAAAAAGCUUAUAUUAAAUAAAUAGACAAGAAGACCCUGUUGAGCUUUUUCUAGAAAUUCAUAUAUAGAUUUUGUUGGGGCAACAUUUAAUAUUUAAAUCAUUUUUUAACUAUAAGAAUAAAAUCAUUAAAUUUAACUUAUUUUAUAAAAAAUUAAUAAGUUACCACAGGGAUAACAGACUAAUUUUCUUUUAGAGCUCAAAUUAACAAGAAAGAUUGGUACCUCGAUGUUGGCUUAGGAUUUCAAAUAAUUGUAACAAAUUAAUUUGUUGGUUU
rnacentral:rRNA from 1 species